rnacentral:misc_RNA from 1 species
CCCAAAUAUGAAGGCCGAUGGGGCCAGCCCUUUGUUGGGUAUGCCCCGUCUGGCGCCAUAUUCACCCAUGUCUUUUUUGCGUACUACUUGUUUCCUUGGUGGGUUCGCCCGCCAUUAGGACCUUUACUCAACCCUUUUUUUUUGCAAUUGCCAUCAGCGUCAGCAAAACAAUGUAAUCAAUUUA